GACGAACCGUGCGAACGUUGUUCGGAAUCACUGGGCUUAAAGGGCGCGUAGGCGGGUGGUCAAGUCAGGGGUGAAAUCCUCCCGCUCAACGGGAGAACAGCUUUUGAUACUGGCCAUCUUGAGGGGGGUAGGGGCAUGUGGAACUUCCGGUGGAGCGGUGAAAUGCGCAGAUAUCGGGAGGAACACCAAUGGCGAAGGCAGCUCGCUGGGACGUUACUGACGCUGAGACGCGAAAGCGUGGGGAGCAAACAGG
rnacentral:rRNA from 1 species